rnacentral:lncRNA from 10 species
GCUCUGCCGCCUUGCUGCCCCUGAUGCUCAGGACCCAGUCAGCGGCGGGAUCAAGAAAAACAGGCAGGGUUUCAAUGUCAACCAAGGCAAUUAGGGAGGUUAACAAACAGCCUUCAAAACAAAACACACAGAAAAUACAUCCCAGAGGAUGUUGCGAAUCAUCCGCUCAAUAGUUCUUGUUCUUCAUCGCAUAAUUUUUCGAGUUGAAAAUUAUUAUUAUUUUCUUUGCAAUAAGUUGAGGAUUGGAAAGCUCUGGAUGCCAGUUCUGGUUCUUCCCUUACUUAACUAGCCGUUUGACCUCCACAAACCUCUGUUUACUCAUCGUAAAGGAAAGGGAUGGACCAAAUGGUUCAUAAUGUCUCUCCCAAUUCUAGGAAUUCCACGCUCUUAAUUAUUUUAAUUAUUUUCUAAUAAAGCAUGAAAAUUGACUGUUUACUCUUGGCCAUACAGUUCUUUUCCUUAGAUGUUGUCUACAGUACAAUAAUUCUUUCCCCUAGGGUAUGGCAGAAACUUUAGAAGUGUCUACCAUGGUGCAGCCACUAUGGAAAACACUAUAGAGGUUUCUCAAAAAAUUAAAAAAAAUACGGUCCAACAAUUCCA